rnacentral:tRNA from 1 species
AUUCUUUUAGUAUAAAAAAUAUAUUUGACUUCCAAUCAAAAGAUCUUAAUCAAAGAAAGAAUA